rnacentral:rRNA from 1 species
UACGGGGGGGGUAAGCGUUGUUCGGAAUUACUGGGCGUAAGGGCUCGUAGGCGGCCAACUAAGUCAUACGUGAAAUCCCUCAGCUUAACUGGGGAACUGCGUGUGAUACUGGAUGGCUUGGAUUUGGGAGAGGGAUGCGGAAUUCCAGGUGUAGCGGUGAAAUGAGUAGAUAUCUGGAGGAACACCGGUGGCGAAGGCGGCAUCCUGGACCAAUAUUGACGCUGAGGAGCGAAAGCCAGGGGAGCAAACGGG